CUGGCAUCAUGAGCUCAGUAGAUGGUUUAACAGCAUCAACAACCAAAUUUACCUUUGUCUUCAGGUUAUAAAUGAAGAAUAGGUUAGCAACUACCCCUUAGUCCUGAUUAUAUUAUGGACAGCCCAAAGUAUUAAAAAUGUAUAAGAAAAAUAGAGGGAGUCCAAAAGGGAUAUAUGGUACAUAGUGAGAAGUCUAAUAUUUAUGUAGCUUGAGUCCCAGAAAGACAAGAGAGAGAGAAUAAGCAGAAGCUUUAUUUGAAAGGAUAAUGGCCAAGGACUUUUCUAAAGUGACCAAUGAAAAUAAGCCACAGAGUCAAGAAAUGCAUUGAAUUCUUUGUAGGAUUAAAACAUUAAGAAGUAGGCAUAUCAGUAUAAAACUGCUAAAAUCCAAAAACAAAUAAAAUCUUGAAAGCAGCAGGGGUGAGUUGGGAAGAACAAUGAGGAAGGGGACAUUAUUGGCCAAACAGCAACAAUGACAUUGAUAGUUGACUGCUCAAUAGAAAUGAUAAAAGCCCAAAACAACAAAACUACAUCUUAAAUAAAAGAUCAGCUGCUAUUUCUAAAAUUCUAUAUUUGCAAAAAUAACCUUUAAGCAUGAAGGCAGUAUAAAGACAUUUAUAGAAUUUCAUGAAUUGAGGGAGUUCCCCCCCCCAAAAAAAGAAGAAAGAAACACCAAAGAGAUUUCUUCAAAUGAAUGGAAAAUUAUCCCACUCAGUAAUGAAGAGAUGCAAGAAGGCACAAAGAGUAACAGAGAGAGCAAAUAAAGCUAAAGGAACACUGACCAUGCAAAACAGUAAUAAAACAGUAACACAAAGGAAGGGAG
rnacentral:lncRNA from 1 species